rnacentral:rRNA from 1 species
UACGUAGGGGGCAAGCGUUGUCCGGAAUUAUUGGGCGUAAAGCGCGCGCAGGCGGCCAUUUAAGUCCUGUGUUUAAGUGCGGGGCUCAACCCCGUGACGCAUGGGAUACUGGGUGGCUGGAGUGCAGGAGAGGAAAGCGGAAUUCCACGUGUAGCGGUGAAAUGCGUAGAGAUGUGGAGGAACACCAGUGGCGAAGGCGGCUUUCUGGCCUGUAACUGACGCUGAGGCGCGAAAGCGUGGGGAGCAAACAGG